GUUCUGGAAGCAGGGUGAGGAAAGGGCAUUGGGGUGUCCACAGUAUGUCACGUAGGCAUUUCACCCUGCUUCAUCUCUGCAUCUCUCUGGGCCUGCUUCCCAUGCCUUGUUACUCAGAAGAAUAAACCUCCAACUUUCUGCCAGGAAGCAAGGAAAGGGCUGCUGCAUGAAUGCACACAUGAGCGGAGACGUGAUGGGCUCAACCACACCGUGGGCCAACUUCCAGCAAACGCCCUUUUUCACUGCGAGCUUUGUUUUCACCUUCCUUUUCAAAUAUUCAUUUCUUAUAAACACUGAGCAACCCAGAGGUUCUUCGGGGUGAAGCAGCUCUGUUCCCACUUGUCUGCAAGCAAUUGGCUUUCUCCUUUCUUCGCUCUGCCAAGGAUAUGAAUGUGAUGAUGUGAUGGCUGGAGCAUUGGCAGUCAUCUUAGACCAGGAACUGAAAAUGGCUUGAAGGGAAAUGUGGAGCAGAGAGAUUAAAGGAACCUGGAUCCCAUACCGACCUGGCAUUAUCUCUUGCAGGCUUGUUUUUCACAAGAGAGUAACGAACAUCUAUCUUUCUUAA